rnacentral:ncRNA from 2 species
ACUAAAUAAUGGGAUAAAGGUGCGAGUACUACGGUACAGCUUAAAAGGGAAGCAGGUAAAAGUCCUGCACGGUCCCGCCACUGUAAUGGGGAGAUGUUUCAUAUCAGGCCACUGGUCCAUACCGGGAAGGCGUGAAGCAUUAGUGAACCAAAGUCAGAAGACCUGCCUUUAUUCGGGGAACCAA